rnacentral:rRNA from 1 species
UACGUAGGGGGCUAGCGUUGUCCGGAAUCAUUGGGCGUAAAGAGCGCGUAGGCGGCCAGAUAAGUCCGGUGUGAAAGUCAAAGGCUCAACCUUUGAAUGCCGCUGGAAACUGUCUGGCUAGAGUCCGGGAGGGGCGAGUGGAAUUCCUGGUGUAGCAGUGAAGUGCGCAGAUAUCAGGAGGAACACCAAUGGCGAAGGCAGCUCGCUGGAACGGUACUGACGCUGAGGCGCGAAAGCGUGGGGAGCAAACAGG